UAGACACCCUGCUUAAAAGGCAGGGUGUCCGGGGUUCGAAUCCCCGCUGGAUCACCA
rnacentral:tRNA from 1 species